AACGAACGCUGGCGGCAUGCCUAACACAUGCAAGUCGAACGAGACCUUCGGGUCUAGUGGCGCACGGGUUCGUAACGCGUGGGAACCUGCCCUUAGGUUCGGCAUAACUCCCCGAAAGGGGUGCUAAUACCGGAUCAUGUCUUCGGCCCAAAGAUUUAUCGCCUUUGGAUGGGCCCGCGUUGGAUUAGCUAGUUGUUAGGGUAAAAGCCUACCAAGGCGCCGAUCCAUAGCUGGUCUGAGAGGAUGAUCAGCCACACUGGGACUGAGACACGGCCGAGACUCCUACGGGAGGCAGCAGUGGGGAAUAGUGGACAAUGGGCGAAAGCCUGAUCCAGCAAUGCCGCGUGAGUGAUGAAGGCCUUAGGGUUGUAAAGCUCUUUUACCCGGGAUGAUAAUGACAGUACCGGGAGAAUAAGCUCCGGCUAACUCCGUG
rnacentral:rRNA from 1 species